rnacentral:tRNA from 1 species
GCUCAGUUGGUUAAGCGUCUGACUCUUGAUUUUGACUCAGGCCAUGAUCUCACAGUCGUGGGAUCAAGUCCUGCAUUGGGCU